CCGGGGUACGUUUGCCAGCAUCCGUGUCCACCCCGAGGAGGAAAGCGGUGGGGUGCAUGGGAAGUCGGGCCCGUGCGCUGGAUCUGUGUGGGACCAGAGAGGAGACAGCUAGGGCCCGUGUGCCCGCGAGUCAGACGAGCUCGUGGUCAGGCUCUGUGUUUCCGUUUGCGGUGGACGACGACGUGGGCUUGCCAGGAUGUCCGUCGACAGCCCGCCGGAGUCCCACACGGGUCCGGAGCCGAGGAGGAAGGCUCUGCGAGCACGAGCGCCAAGGCGCCAAGGCGCCAAGGCGCCAAGGCCGUGGUUCCCGCGCAAGACAGAUGGCGGGGGAAGGCAUCCUCGGGGUGCCCCCGGCACGGUUCUGGGCUCUGCGAGGGCUGCUGCUUUCUGAGUGAGAUCCGCGCCAUCUCCCAAAGACGAGCGGAGGCUGGUUGUGUCCACGCUAACGCUUCUCUCCGGAGCUUUGGUCGACCCGAGAGCUGGGAGGAGGCCGACCGGAAGGAAAGGAAGGGCAAGGGCAAGGGCAAGGACGACGGAGACGCCGGUCACCCGCGGGCGCUGCUGUUCUGGGUGAGUGCGUGCUCUUUGUUCUCUUCCUUGGCCCUUUCCCGGACCGGUUAUUCCGUCCUAGCCAAAAGGCCGUCAUUCUGGUAUCUCAGCAAGCCUCGAGGAGGAAAGGCUCCCAAGGUAGGCCGGUGGCACGGGGACACUGGCGUGCCCUUGCGCACUUUUCGGCCGCACUAGAAAAGGGCGUCGAGCGAGGUCCUGGUUGUGGAAGCGGCAGAAAACGUUGGCGCGGGCCAGCGCGUAGAUCGUGUGUGUCUAUUGCUUAAGGCGAUGGAUCGGUCCGUGGAACGUGAGGGCGCUGUCCUCCGGGACCAGAGAGAGUGCAGAGGGAUUGGGCUCGGGCCUGGAGCAUGAGCUGCACCUACACCUGGCCCUGGGCCCGGGCCCGGGCCCGGACCCGGGCCCUGGCCGGGGCCUACACCCGGACCUGCGCCUGGGCCUGCACCUGCACCUGCAUCUGCAUGAGGGCCUGGACUUGGGCCUAGCCGGGGCCUAGCGCCCGGACCCGCGCCUGCUGGGCCCUAGGCCCUGGCAAGCCCACUGCCGGUGAUUUGCCCAUUCCACUCCCCCCCGAGAAGCAGCAGUCCCAGCUGCACGUGGAGAAAGGUCCUUGGAGACCCUUUGGGGCGAACCCGGCCUGUAAGGCCUUUUGCCUCCUUGGCUUUGAGUGGAGCCCCUCCCGAGCUCUUCCUGCCGUCACCCCCUGAUUGCUCUUGGGCCCAGCUCGCUGCUGCGAGACCCGCCCGCCACCAGCCCAGGGAGGACUUGGGAACCCGCUCUUGCUGGAAUGCGGGGCAGGUGCGCGAGCUGGGGGUCGGGGGGUGGGGGGGCUUGGGGUGACGUGGGGGGGGGGUUGAGCCUCGGGGCAGCCCGCCGUGGAUCUCCGUGCUCCCCAAGUCUGUCUCUUGACCAGCCGAGGAACGUGAAAGGGUGGAGUCUCCAAGACGGGUACUUCCCUUCUUCCGUGUGCGAACGUCGCACGCACGUGUGUGUGACCCGAAGCCGCAGGUGUUUUCUCUCUUCCUGUCUUCCUUUCUUCUUCCUCCCGUGUCUUCUUGAAACGAUCUUGCCAUGAGGAAGGACGCCUCCCGUCCUGGCUCAGCACCACUGAAGGCGUCUCCAGGCGGGCUGGCGGCCGUGCGGCGCCGUGGACUGGGGAGGGCACACGCUGGUGGGC
rnacentral:lncRNA from 1 species